UUUCCUCAAUCCUCCUUCACUUUCACGAGCGGCAAUUGCUAUACAGCUUCACAAACAUAGCUUAUCUCUCCAAUCAGUUUUGUCAAAAUUAUUCAAUACUUUCCUUUCUCAAAUGUAUUUCUAAUAGAAAACCCCUAAAUGUUACGUAUCAUUCAUCUUAUCUCCAAUCCAUCACCAUAUUCGAUUGAACACUGGCAAUCGAAAUCGAUGAAGGAAAUGUGGGGCUGUGGUGGUGCAGAUCUGGCUGGAAAAACGUUUUCAUAUCUCAAAAUCGUGUUGUUAGUGGUGGCGACAAGUGUUUUCUUUCGAUCAAUCUGUCUAACGAUUAUUCAAGCCUAAUCAUGGAAAGGAUUAUUGAACCCCAAAUCAUAACGGGAGGAUCUGGAUUAGUUUGCGUGUACUGAUUACGUUAUUGGUGUUUAGAGGCUUCGAUAAGUGAUGAUCAAGAACCCUAAUUCUCUGCCCAUCUUCUACAAGGUGUAUUGGUGUUUGAUGUUCUUGAAUCAUGAUUGUCUUUGAAAUCUCAAUUCUGCAAUGAUUCAACACGACCAUUCGAUUUCAGCCUAAUCGGUAUGGUACAGAUAUAGUGUCAUGGAGCAUCAACGUGGAUACUGUUUUGAGCGUCAAGCUACAUGUCGGGCAGUGAUAUCCAUGCAAGGGAUUUUGUGCAACCUGCUGCAAUUGCGGAAAACGGUACCAUGAACAAUUACGGUUUUCAAGAGCAACAAUUGCAAGCCCCUGUGGCUAAAAGUAUUCUCGAAUACGGUUACACUGUGCAGACAAAUGGUUCAGUUCAAAACUCAGUUAACGCACUUCAAAAUCAUAUGACUCCUGUCGAGGAAGUUGUUGAAGAUCCACAAAAGCAUACUUAUGCUUCCAUCCUGCAAGUAGCCAAAGGGCAUUUGGCCCCUCGGCACCUAGAGAGCAGUCGUUCAAGAAGAGUACAUCCGUUUCAGAGUUAAACCAUGUGUCUGAGUCACCUGCGCAAGCGCAACAGCCCGCUGCAAAUUAACGGAGGCGCUGCAACAUUAACUUUAUCUUCUCUUUAACGGGGUGUUUAAUGUGUUUUAAAGUCGAUUUUCUUAUUAGUUGUGUAUAUUGACUUCUGUAGUUGAGGUGAAGUCUGUUUAUGUGAAAAACGUGCCAUCCACUACAAUUGCGUCUGAUAUCGAGGAAGUGUUUAACAAAUUUGGUAAUAUCAGACAAGACAAGAUGGUGUUGCAAUCAGAACCCGGAAGAAGCAUUGUGGUCUGAGGUUAGUGUGUGGUUAGAUCUCCCCAUGGUGAACUCAUGCUUAUCAGUUAAUGGCGAAAAUAUGGGAUGUACUAGCACCUAAAAUAAGAAGAAAGGCACUGUCUUGUGUUAUUAUGGCGAGGCUAUGGCUGAAAAGAAAUGAUAAAGUAUUUUGAGAUGGAAACUGCACAAGAGGGAGGAUGCUUCAAGAGAUAAAAGAAACUACCUAUAUGUGGUUAAGGAGCAGACCAAAAAUUGAGAAUAUAACUUUAUUGGGUUGGAUUAUUGGUGGAACAAAUGUAAUAUGUGACUGAAUUCUUUUAUGUACUACUCUCCCAGUAUCUUGCUGGUAGGGCCCUUUGGUUUUGUUGAAUAAAAGGCAACAUAUUUGUGUGGAGGGGGUCCGUCUUCAUUAGUAUGCAAGAUAUGUGAAGCGGAGGACGAAUCUGCUGCACAUGUUCUGUUGAAAUGCUGGUUUGCUGGUGCAGUCUGGACACACACAGUCUGGAUAAAGGCGCGAAGAUGAUUCCAGUUAGCAAAUCAGUUACAGGUUGGUGGUAAGACUUGGCCGAUGUAGAUGGGAGUCUCGGGAAGAUGGGUAUCAAGGUAAAAGAUUCUCUAAAGGUUCAAAUUGGGGAUGGAGCAAAAACAAGGAUGUGGUUUGAUACAUGGAUCAAGGAAGCUCCAUUAAGGCUUUUAUUCCCAAAUGUGUUCAGGCUUGCUGCUGUGAAAGACGCUAAGGUGGCCUCCAGUUAUGAAGUCGCAGGUUCGUUAAGUCAAUGGAGUGGGAGUGGGUCAGAGACCCCAAUUCUGCUGCUGAAUGGGCUGUGCUGGGGGUUCUUAUGCGCUUGCUGAAUGAUGUAACUCUGUCACAUGAGUCGGAUAAAUGGGUUUGGGCAAACGAGGCAGGCGGAUGGUUUUCGGGUUUGGCUGCCUUCAAUUAAGUUUUUUUAAACUUAAGUUUGGCGUUUAAUUGCUGUUUGAGUAUGGUAUAUCCUUUUGGUUGCUAUACCGAGUACCAUAAUGUAUUGAACUGGGGCAUAAUUGUUUGGUUAGACAGGCUGGAUAAUUGGUCAAAAUGAGUAAUUUUGGUGACAA